ensembl:snoRNA
UUUUCCUGGGUCUGGGUCGAGUGGCAUCUGGCUGGUGAUCCCCAUCUUAUAUCAGUCAGGGACAAAGCAACCCCUUGUUCAUCCCAGCUUGGCUUUGAAUCAGUGUCCUUGCCUGGUUCAUGCCUUGGACACAUGG